rnacentral:lncRNA from 1 species
AAUAUAUUUUUACUGAAAAGAUAUAUAUCUAUAAAAAAACCAGCCUCAGCAAAUCAAAUUUUACAGUCUCAAAUUUUACAUUUAAUUAACCAAGUCAAUUUUACAAAUUCUAAUUCCUUAACAUUUGUUAAAAGCAUUGUUAAAAGCAUGAAAACUUAUAUGAAAAUAACAAGGUUACUGAUUAUCACUGAGAAAGAAAAAAUAUUUCUCUUAAAGGAUUGUGCAUCCUCACCUUUUAUGCUACUACUGAUAGUCCAUUUAAAAGUCAACUUAGCUCUAGAAUAGAUAUCAGAAGACCCUUCAAAAUAAGUAAUACUUGAGAUCCGGGACCAUGUCACAUUUGUCUUUGCAUCCUUGGCCUGUAAUACAAAUGCCAGGCCCUAUUAAAUACAAUUGAUUGAUUUAUUGAUUAGUUUCACCACUAGCCAUGUACCUAGAACUAUAGGUUAUUCUUUUCACUUCCUGUGUUAUGUUUAUUCUACUGUGAAAAUAUAUUGGUUUGGUAUUACAUAGUAAGUUACUCUUUUGUUUGCUUGAUUAAACAAAGUGAUUAUUCUUUCACUUAUAAUAUCAUUGGGUAUCAACGAGGACUGAUCAAUAGGUGUAAACCCAUAUCAGUUGCUGAGACAAUGCAUACCCUGCUUUGACAGUUUUGUUUCCCAUUUGCCACAGUCAUGCACUUCAUUCGUUUCAUGUAUAGGUUCCAGGGAAGUUUUCAUUAAGUGGAACAGCUAUAUCAAUAAAUUUUACUACAUUUCUAAUUAAAUAGCUGGAUGUCUGGACUUUUUUGCAAGGUUUAUUGAUCAAUUCUUAUGGCUGUCUUCCAAUCUAUCUUUUAUCACUUACUUUGGAGUACAUUUUUCGGAGUUCUGUAAUUUAUAUGUAGUACAGUGAUAAUCUCAUUAUUGACCCACUAACCAAAGUUCAAGGCAGUCUUCUAGUCUCAGCCUCGAAAUAAAAGAAACAGUAAGGAAGAGGAUGUACCUACCCUGUCACUUUAGUUUAACUUUUUCUUUAGUAAAUACACAUCAUUUACAACAGGUUUUCUCAAGCAUUAGUAACAGUCACUGGGCUCAAACUUUCCAGUGAAAGGGCUUUAUCUGUAUCUCUGGGCAAGUGCUUCCAGAAGAGAUUCAGUUAGCCAGGUUUAGAAAUCCUUGAUAUACCUAAGUCACUGCCCUGGUUUCUCUUUAUUAUCAUGGAGCCAUAACAUGGAGCCAUAACUCAGCCAUAAAGAAGAAUGAAAUCUUACCAUUUGCUACGAUAUGGAUGGACCUAGAGAACAUUAUGCUAAGUGAAAUAAGUCAGACAGAGAAAGACAAAUACCAUAUGAUCUCACUUAUAUGUG